GUAACCGCUGCAUUGCGAAUCUGCAAGUGCAGCCGCGACUUCGGCCGGUGUUCCCCAGGGAAAACAUAGGCGAGCGUGGCCGAAUUGCCGGAGCACGCACCGCUUUGCGGUAUCGCGGCGUCUUAUCGGAGGCGCAAAGGUCGCCGUU
rnacentral:sRNA from 1 species